AAGGCCUCGAAGAAAACUUGUGAAAAACCGAUUGUUAUACAGCCGACGGUAAUCAAUUAUCCAAUCAGCAUAUAGCCUGGCAAAUGUUCGAAAAUUGGAAGAACAUUUAAUUUUCGAUCGACCACUUUAAAUCGGAUUGCAUCUGACCAUUUUUCAUCACAAUGACAUAAGAACGGUGUCAUUUGGCAGCUAAAAGCUUAACCUAUAUUAGUGUGCGAAAAGUAUAAAUCUAUAAACUUAGUAUCUAUAACGCACGAUAACAUGUGGAGAUUAUUUUACCUUUUUUGAUACGCGACCCUGCAGUAUACAUGUUCAACAGUUUUUGAGAUUUCUAUCUACAAAAAACUACUCAACAUUUAGUAUCGACUGAGAUGCGUGAAUUCCUGAUAUUUACCCAUAUACGGAUAUACCUUACUAAAGGAAUACCUAAACCGAAUGGUUUUCCGUGCAGGAUUGCGUGAUCCAUGCACGAGGGAUGUCGCGAGACUUUCGGAAAGCGUAAAAAUACUCGAGCC